UAGGAUCUCAAGAGAGAAGAGAUGGAGGUGU
rnacentral:piRNA from 1 species